UACAGAGGGUGCAAGCGUUAAUCGGAAUUACUGGGCGUAAAGCGUGCGUAGACGGUCAUGUAAGUCGGGUGUGAAAGCCCCGGGCUCAACCUGGGAAUUGCAUUCGAGACUGCAUGGCUAGGAUGCGGAAGGGGGAAGCGGAAUUUCCGGUGUAGCGGUGAAAUGCGUAGAUAUCGGAAGGAACACCAGUGGCGAAAGCGGCUUCCUGGUCCAGCAUCGACGUUCAGGCACGAAAGCGUGGGGAGCAAACAGG
rnacentral:rRNA from 1 species